UCUCUGAUGUUAGCGGCGGACGGGUGAUUAACACGUGGAUAACCUACCUAUAAGACUGGGAUAACUUCGGGAAACCGGAGCUAAUACCGGAUAAUAUUUUGAACCGCAUGGUUCAAAAGUGAAAGACGGUCUUGCUGUCACUUAUAGAUGGAUCCGCGCUGCAUUAGCUAGUUGGUAAGGUAACGGCUUACCAAGGCAACGAUGCAUAGCCGACCUGAGAGGGUGAUCGGCCACACUGGAACUGAGACACGGUCCAGACUCCUACGGGAGGCAGCAGUAGGGAAUCUUCCGCAAUGGGCGAAAGCCUGACGGAGCAACGCCGCGUGAGUGAUGAAGGUCUUCGGAUCGUAAAACUCUGUUAUUAGGGAAGAACAUAUGUGUAAGUAACUGUGCACAUCUUGACGGUACCUAAUCAGAAAGCCACGGCUAACUACGUGCCAGCAGCCGCGGUAAUACGUAGGUGGCAAGCGUUAUCCGGAAUUAUUGGGCGUAAAGCGCGCGUAGGCGGUUUUUUAAGUCUGAUGUGAAAGCCCACGGCUCAACCGUGGAGGGUCAUUGGAAACUGGAAAACUUGAGUGCAGAAGAGGAAAGUGGAAUUCCAUGUGUAGCGGUGAAAUGCGCAGAGAUAUGGAGGAACACCAGUGGCGAAGGCGACUUUCUGGUCUGUAACUGACGCUGAUGUGCGAAAGCGUGGGGAUCAAACAGGAUUAGAUACCCUGGUAGUCCACGCCGUAAACGAUGAGUGCUAAGUGUUAGGGGGUUUCCGCCCCUUAGUGCUGCAGCUAACGCAUUAAGCACUCCGCCUGGGGAGUACGACCGCAAGGUUGAAACUCAAAGGAAUUGACGGGGACCCGCACAAGCGGUGGAGCAUGUGGUUUAAUUCGAAGCAACGCGAAGAACCUUACCAAAUCUUGACAUCCUUUGACAACUCUAGAGAUAGAGCCUUCCCCUUCGGGGGACAAAGUGACAGGUGGUGCAUGGUUGUCGUCAGCUCGUGUCGUGAGAUGUUGGGUUAAGUCCCGCAACGAGCGCAACCCUUAAGCUUAGUUGCCAUCAUUAAGUUGGGCACUCUAAGUUGACUGCCGGUGACAAACCGGAGGAAGGUGGGGAUGACGUCAAAUCAUCAUGCCCCUUAUGAUUUGGGCUACACACGUGCUACAAUGGACAAUACAAAGGGCAGCGAAACCGCGAGGUCAAGCAAAUCCCAUAAAGUUGUUCUCAGUUCGGAUUGUAGUCUGCAACUCGACUACAUGAAGCUGGAAUCGCUAGUAAUCGUAGAUCAGCAUGCUACGGUGAAUACGUUCCCGGGUCU
rnacentral:rRNA from 1 species